rnacentral:rRNA from 1 species
UACGUAGGGGGCGAGCGUUGUCCGGAGUUACUGGGCGUAAAGCGCUUGUAGGCGGUCCACCAAGUUUGGGGUGACAGUUGCCGACUUAAUCGGCAAAGUGCCUCAAAGACUGGCGGACUUGAGGGCCACAGAGGGACAUGGAACUCCAGGUGUAGUGGUGAAAUGCGUAGAGAUCCGGAAGAACACCAAAGGCGAAGGCACCAUCCUGGGGAGUCACUGACGCUCGGGUGCGAAAGCCAGGGGAGCGAACGGG